GUGCAUUCAGCUGGUUCAGAGCAUUAUAUAAUCCCUUACCCAGUAGGCAGGUAUUCAUCAAAAUCAGAUCAAGUUCCAGAUCUAAACAAACUACAGUUAAAUAUCUCAAGGUUUCUGCGUUUCCAAGAAAGCAAGAAGAAAAUGGAUAACUCACAGAAGGCAAGCUACAACGCUGGAGUGGCCAAGGGCCAAACUCAGGAAUAUAUCUCUCAGCCUUAGCUAGCUUGCUCUCUCUUUACCUAUUCAAUCUGCAAGUUUGUAUGUUUCUGUUUCUAGAUCUCAUUGUGUUUGGGUUUUGAUUGUUAACAGGAGAAGGCCAGCACCAUGAUGGACAAGGCAGGGAAUGCUGCACAGACCGCCAAGGAGUCGGUGCAGAAUGCUGGCCAAACGAUUGCUGCAGGAGCUGCAGGAGCUGUUGAUGCUGUCAAGAAUGCUACCGGCAUGAACAAGUGAUUGAGCUAGCUGCUGAUAUGGUGGCCGCUAUGGAUAUUUUUAAGCGUUUUUAGUCUUUGUUUAUAAAGAAGAGAAGCUCUAGUCCUCUUAGAUCGAGCUCUAGAGUUCUCAUAAUUUGGUGUGUGUUAUUUCACACACCUACUUUAAUUUGGUUCUUUGUUAAUGUUGUGUUGUUGUUCUCCUUCCUCCCAUUUGCGAUAAGGAAGAGAUCGUUCUGUCUGUUGUAGUUCUCACCUUAUGUAAUGAUAAGGUUUAUAACGAAAAAUUUCGAAAAAUUGUUGGCCAGAUACAAACGAGGUUGCUACGAUGAACAUCUACCUCCAGGAAUCGUAAUAGCUAGUUACUUGUUGCAUAGAAAAAUAGUCAUAAUAGUCUACUGAAGAUGACAAUUGGUAUAUGAAUCACGUACAUGAACAUCAGAAGCUAGCAGUUACAGUGAUGAAUCUAAGCAAUUCUUACCCGGGUGAUAAA
rnacentral:lncRNA from 1 species